rnacentral:lncRNA from 1 species
GUCUUGACCAUAUCCAACCCAUUAAAUCCACUUAUCCGGUUUUUAAAUUAGCUUAACAAAUAAUUAAAGUGCAAAGUUAUUUUAUUUACGUAUUUUUUCCACAAGAAAUUGUUCAUCUUCUCCCAAGCCGCUCACUAUGAACUCCAAUGCAAACCCUAGACCUCCCCUUCCUCUUAUUUUCUCUUUAUUGUUAUCUUGGUGAGUGAGUAUGUGAGAUAGAACCUUGAUUUCAUCUACUGCCUGGAUUUUCUCCCUGUGACUAAGCGAUUAUGUAGGUUAGAUCGAGAUAAUUGACUUGCUUGCAUAAUGAUUGAACUUGUUGGGUUUGUUCUUGAGAAGAAGUAUUUGGAGUUUUUGUGAUGGUGGAUAUCCUAUAGCAACAAGGCGAUACUUUAAAUGGAUGGGAGAGAUUGCAGAAGAGGUAAAUGGUGAAUUAGCUUGGAAAUUUGUGAUUUUAUCCAAAUUUUCAGUAGGCCUUUGUUUGUUUCCUAGCAGGUGCAAAUUUUCAUGGUUGAUAUCUACUUACAUAAGAAUUUAUUGGUCUUGCCUCAUGCUCUUUUUUUGCAUGAAUAGAGUAAUAAGUAUUGAAUGAUUUUCAAUCAAAAUUAACUGGUAAAGAUAUAAAAGUCAUGUGAGAUAUUAAAAAAAUAAAACAUUUUUCCUACCUAUUUACACUUGUACUCUUGUCUCACAAUUUUAAUAGUAUUGGUGAAUUGAUGAUAUCUAUAGGUUUGUUAACUGACAAAUGGUGUAAUAAGUAAGUGGAUCCACAAGCACUGUUUUGUCAAUUGUGUUUCAGUAAGCUAUAGUUCAUCUAUGACUGCAUUUGUUUGUUUUAGUUGUUUCCAUGAUCAUAUCUAUGGUGCUUUAUAUAUGGAAUUAAAUCAUUUCCUUUUUGAAAAUCUACAAAAAUAGUAUUAAGUUUAUCAUAUGAUUAUGUGACAUAAGUUGAAACUUAAUGUGCAUUAAGGAAUGACUUUAGAGAAAUACGAGCAUACUACUUCCGAGUUCAUUAUAUUUGUCAUAUUUUAAUUUUUCACACGACCCUCAACUAAAAUGAUUAUUUUACUUAAUUAUUCUUUUUACAUUUUUAUCUCAAUAGCCUGGAGGGUUUUUUUUUUGGAAACUACACUUUCCACAUUCCAUUUAUGGGUUUUUAUUGGAUGUUCUAUUUUUUUGUUAAUCUUAAUUAAAUACUAUGUUUACUCACAUUAUUCUCUUCAUAAAUAAAAAUUGUUUCGGAUAAGGAAAUUGUAGUUGUUUCCGUGAUCAUAUUUGGUGCCAUUAGGAGCACUUAUACUACACUGACAAGUUUUUUUUUCAUAGAUCAAAGAUUUGUAAUUGAAAGAACCUUGAAGAAACUGCAGAGAAAAUGUAUGUGACUGGAAAAGUUUAAAGAAGUUGAAGCACAAGAGAAAUAUAUUUUCUAUCUUUUUUAGGAGUUUGAUAAUAUUAUCAUGUGUAUAUGUGACAUAAUAUUCUCAUAAUGUAGGAUGUAGACUAUUAUAAUGGCAUACACCUGUUUAUAGUAAUGCUUAUUCUUUGUAAUUAAAUUUUGGUAGUUCAUAUAUGACUCAAAUCAUGAAUGAUAAUUAUUAAGUUUUUGUACAUCUUAACAAUAAUAAGCAUGUAAUGAUCAAAUUUUUAGUUGGUAAAAUCUAGUACAAAAUUAGGUAAAGUAAAAUCUAGUUGCUUAAAGAACUUAUAACAACUGGAUUUGUUACUGUAAUUAAGUGUUUUUAGUGAUCGAAAUGAAAAUUAAUGAAAGAUAAAUUUGGUUGUUAAAAUGAGAAUCGACGACCGGAAUUUUUACCAUCGCUAAAGAAUUUUAAACAACCAAUUUGAAAAUUCGGUCGUUAACUUUUAACGAUGAAGCUUUUAGCGAUCGGUGACGACCAAUUCUUUACCGAAUAACAACCGGAUCUAGACUUUUAGCGACCGGAUUGACUCUCGUUAAAAUCUAUUUUUCUUGUAGUGUCUACAUCCGGUCACUGGCCGCAUUGGAACUAGUUUGUUCAUCUCAUUAGGCACCAGUGUCAUCC